rnacentral:lncRNA from 1 species
AAAUAUGUAAUUGGGUCAAAUCUACCCCCAUUCUGUUCUCUUUAAUUUCACAUCUAACAGCCUCCUUUUCUCCUCUUAAAUUCACAUGCUCCUUGUCAGUUUGGUUUAAUGCACCGAGUCCAUUUAAUGCGGCCUGUAUGUACAUGUGUGUGCUACUAUGUCCUGGAACAAAACUAGUCUCUCAAGUACCACAUGUCUGAAUGAAAACUGAAAACCAUCGAUUGUCAAUAGCUCCUCAGUAGGAGUAAGACUUCAUAAGACACACUUCAAUUCAUCCUAUGAUUUUAGGAUGCUUGAUUUAUGGCAGGUCUUAAGCAAGCAGUGUCAACCUUUAUGAAGUCAUAUGGCAAUGAUCCUUGCCCAUGAAUAAAAAAUGGGGGUUUGCCUUGGCAUCUAUUCCCUUUCACUGUUCUCUUUCUUUCUGUAUACUCUUCUAAGAUGACUGCUGAGUUCUUUGGAAGUUGGAGAGAAGGGUGUUAUAUAGAUGUCCAAUUUAUAGUUGAAUACUCUGGUCUCUUAUUAUUUUCAUGUUAAGAAGUUAUGACUUUUUAUGGUAAUCACCAUCUUCUUCACAGAGCAAUUUCUCUGAAGAGGGUUUAGAGAUGCACUUAUUUGUAGGUAUAAAGUCAAGAAGUGAGAGGGCAUGGGAGUUAAUUAUGCUCUCCAUUUAGGUGAAUAGCAGUCCUAGAUACUCUUGUAGGUGUUUGUCCCAGUUAAAGAUACCAGGCAUGCACUCCAUCUUGCAGAUUGACAUCCUCAGAACACAGUUGUUUACUCCCAUAAUGGCGUUGUUUUUAUUGACAAGUAGGCAUACUUUACAUGGUAUUAUUGUUAUUCACGGUGUUUAACCUAGACACUCAGAAUAUAUCAUUUUUCUCCCCUGGUAUUAUGCGUAGACCUCAAAAGCUAUGAAGACUAGUUUUAACUUUAAUUUUUUUUUAAAUUCUAUUUUAAUGAUGGUUCUUAAAUGCUUUAACCUUUCUUGUAGCCUACUACCCACCAGAGGUAGUAGAGAAGAAAGAAAUCUUUAGAAAUUCUUAGAAAAGUUCUUUGGAGAAAUUCCUGUCUGUGCUGUCUGGAAAUUAGCAGUUCAGUUCACAGGUUAGCAGGCAUCAGCAGCUUGGUCCACUCGCAAACACCUCAAGGAUACACCAGCAGUCCAGUUCCAUAGUCACGUGAGCAACAGUGGUGAUGUGACCUAUCAAGGACAGACAGGCCUCAGCCUCUGCUCCAGUCAGCAGGACAGACCAACAGGAACACCAAAAGUGCCUCACUCAGGGAAGAGAAGAUCAGCAAAGACCCAAAAAAGCCAAGCUUUGUCUUCAUUACUGCUUGAAGUCCUAUUUAUACCCUCCCAACAUCACAUGUCCUUUAUAUGCCUUGCCUUAGAAAGGGUCUUGCUUCAGCAUAGGUCUUGCCUCAGCACACACAUCUAAUAAUCCCAAGUCCUUGGAAGCAGUAACAAACUGCAGCAUACCACCAGAAGAUUUUGGUGCUGUUUCUCUCUAUGGCAUUCCAACAAAUGCACCCCAAUUACCGCUAUGUAAGACAGACCAAUACAUGUCUGUUGUUAGCAAAGAAUCUUUCAUCACGUGUCCUCUCACACGCUUGCUUUAGCAAAACAUCUCUUUCAUGUGUCUGCUUCAGUGAGAUGUUCCUCCACGUCUGCCUUAGCCCUUCAAAGCUGUGUCCAAUUUAACAAAACAUUUCUCCAUGUAUUUAUCCCAAUAAAACACCAUCCAACUGACUUUCAAAAGAACCCUUAAGUUUCCACUUCAACUAGUUAGUAGGUAUGAAGUUCCCCUGUCAGUUUCAGCUUGAUUUCUAUAUGCUCUAUUGCAAAGGGACUUAGAAUAUUCAAGAAUGGUGUCUUAACAUCAAGUUCUGGAAAUAACCAAAAGCAAGAACAUAUAAUGUUUGAGAAGAUAUGUAGGACCCUACUGUCAGAAAUAAAUCCCAUCUGGUAUUGGCUCAUGUGAAAGUCUGUGAUAUAGAGGGGAGGCAUUGUCUCCCGUAAAUAAAGUAACUCCAAUUCAAUCUCAUUUAUAUAAUGUGUAUCUUAGUAGUAGGUUUCAGAAUGUCAUCUCCCAAAGUCUUUAGUGUUAACUAUAUCUUCCCGUACUCUCUUCUCCCUGAACUCUCCACCCCAUUUUACCCUCACUGUUCCAUUAUCCUCUUGCCUUCUUCAUACCACCUAGAUUAUUUGCCUCCCUUUAGAAUUCCUUCCUCAUGGUCACUUGCUAGUUCCCUUUCUCCUAUGUGUGUGCCAAAAUAAAUCUACAUAUCUGCAAAUUCAUAACUAGCAUCAGAAUAGAUUAUUUCUAGCUUCAGUGAUUUACCUGUCAACAAUAUAAUUUCAUUUUUCUUUACAGGUGAAUAAUAUUUCAUUGUUUACAUAAACCACAUUUUUAUUACCCACUCAUUUUUGAUGAAUUCCUAGACUAUUUGCAUUUUCUGGGUAUCAGAAAAAUAGCAUCAGUAAACAGGUUUGAGCAGUCAUCUCUGAAGUAGGAUUUACUGACCUUUAGGGAAAUGUUCAAGUGUAGUUAAACUGGUUAAGAUAGAGGUUCUAUUUCUAGCUUUGGGGGAAGUCCACACUGAUUUUCAUAGUGAUUACAUGAGUUUGCACUGCCAACAACAGUUUUAAAAUUUUAUAAUCGUCUUUAAUAUAAGAAAACAUAAGUUGAUCAAAACCAACUCUAUUACCAUCAAGUUAAGAAACACUUGUUAAGUAUUUGUUAUUAAUAGGCUGGCUAAAUAUUUAGUAAGUUAAAUGCUUGAUAAGUAUGUGUUAUCCACAAGUCUUUAUGUAGCAAAGCAAAACAUAAAAGCUCAUGUCACUCGGCAAUUAAGCAUAGGAUGAAGUAAGAGUGUUCUGUACAAGUUUCGUAGAUGACUAGCGUGGGGUAUAAUUGAAAUCUAUUACCUCACUUCUAAUUUUAACAAUGCAAAUAAACAGUAAUAAGACUGAAAAUUGGAAGCAUAUGUAUACAUGCCUAUUGGUACUGGAGGUGAAAUAUAUGUUUAUAAAUUGAUGUCAUUAUAAACUGUUAAUAACUCUCUGGAGUACAAUUUAUACAUUGAUUACUUAACCACCGAUACAAUUACAAAUGUUUCUAAAUAUUGGUGUUAAGUUUCUUUUGAAUAAAGCGACCUCAGACAU